GUGACAUCAGGCAAUACAACUCUCUGGCAGGGCAUCUUACAAAUCUUGUACCUGAAGAUGGCAGACAACAACUAUGCAGACUUGGCCUUCUUCAGUGACGCUGUGAACGUGUAUGGCUUUCCUCUGAGGGUGAGAGGCGAUCACGGAAGAGAACAUGCGGGCAUAGCAGAGUUAAUGCUCACAGUACGUAGAACUGACACAAACAGCUUCAUUACAGCAAAAGUGUACACACAAUCAACGG